rnacentral:lncRNA from 1 species
GGCACAUGUAAAGGCGUCGGUGAGAAUGGGUGUUGGGACGGCGAGUUGUAGGGAGAAUAAAAAAAAAUUGCAAGAGGAAAUGGGGGUUGGCCCAAUGUGGGUGUUUGGAGUGGAGUGUGUGUUGUGGGGGAGGAAUAAGAAAAAAAGAAAAAAUGGAGAAAAGAGAUGGGUCGUCGAUCGUGUGUGGUGUUGGGAGAGAGGAAAAAAAAAAGAACAAAAUGGAAGAGAGGAGAUGGGGAGAUGGGUUGGC